GUGCUCACUUAAGCAGCACAUAUACUAAAAUUGGAACUGUGCAGAAGAUUAGUGUGGCCCCUGCACAAGGAUGACACAGAAAUUCCUGGUGUUUGAUAUUUCU
rnacentral:snRNA from 1 species